rnacentral:misc_RNA from 1 species
AAACCCCUGCUUUCUCUCACACAGUAUAUAUACAAACAACUUUUCCAGCCUUUUGUCUCCGUUGAAGGUUUUCUUCAUUCAAUUCUCUCCUGAAGAAUCAAAAAGGAAAAAAUGAUUAAAUUAUUCAAAGUAAAAGAGAAGCAAAGAGAGGAUACUGAGAAUGGCAAUGCUAGGGGCCCUUAUAACAAGCAGACUGCUGGGGAACUGCGUCUACGCAAAGACAUUACCGAGCUGAACCUGCCCCGUUCUUGUACAAUAUCAUUUCCAGAUGGAAAGGAUAAGUUGAUGAGCUUUGAGAUAAAAAUUCAGCCUGAUGGUGGAUAUUAUGCUGGAGGAAAAUUUUUGUUCUCUUUCCAGGUUCCAUCAAUCUAUCCACAUGAACCACCAAAAGUCAAGUGCAAGACCAAGGUAUAUCAUCCUAAUAUUGAUUUGGAGGGUAAUGUAUGCCUCAACGUACUUAGAGAAGAUUGGAAACCUG